rnacentral:lncRNA from 1 species
UCUCCUCGUGUUCUGUAGGGUGUCCACUUGCCCUGUUAGAAGGCUUCAGGGCAUCAGGGAUCCCAAGCAGACAUGGCAAUCCUUUCUUCCUGUUCCUUUCACCCGGGCACUCUGGCCCAGACAAGCACGUGCAGGAGGACAUGAAAGCAGAUUUUCCAGGCACAGGAUGGGCUCAUAGAUUCAGAGACACGGCCUCAGUGAUCUCAUGCCCCAGGAACAUGAUGUAAGUAAAAGCGGCAGACUGGCUGCCUUAGGUGGGGGAUGGAGGUGAAUU